GGAAGGUGCAAGCGUUAAUCGGAAUUACUGGGGCGUAAAGCGCGCGUAGGCGGCUAGAUAAGUCGGGUGUGAAAGCCCUGGGGCUCAACCUGGGGAACUGCAUUCGAUACUGUCUAGCUAGAGUGUGGUAGAGGGAGGCGGAAUUCCGCAUGUAGCGGUGAAAUGCGUAGAGAUGCGGAGGAACACCAAUGGCGAAGGCAGCCUUCUGGACCAACACUGACGCUGAGGCGCGAAAGCGUGGGGAGCAAACAGGAUUAGAUACCCUGGUAGUCCACGCCGUAAACGAUGUCAACUAGCCGUUGGGAGCAAUUUGGUUCUUGGUGGCGCAGCUAACGCGAUAAGUUGACCGCCUGGGGAGUACGGUCGCAAGAUUA
rnacentral:rRNA from 1 species